rnacentral:lncRNA from 1 species
AACCACGUCUUCCAGCUGCGCGACUCCGUCUACAAGACGCUGAUGAUGAGGCCCGACCUGGAGCUGCAGUUCAAGUGCUACCACCACGAGGACCGACAGAUGAACACCAACUGGCCGGCGUCCGUGCAGGUCAGCGUCAACGCCACGCCGCUCACCAUCGAGCGCGGCGACAACAAGACCUCGCACAAACCGCUCUACCUGAAGCACGUCUGCCAGCCCGGCCGCAACACCAUCCAGAUCACCGUCACCGCCUG